rnacentral:tRNA from 1 species
AGGGCCAUAGCUCAACUAGGCAGAGCACUUGACUCCAAAUCAAGCGGUUGGGGGUUCGAUUCCCUCUGGCCCUG